GAGUAACACGUGGGCAACCUUUCCUAUCGCGGGGGAUAACAGCGGGAAACCGCUGCUAAUACCGCAUGUCGUCAUCGGUCGCAUGGCCGGUGAAAAAAGCAGCAAUGCACGAUGGGGUGGGCCCGCGGCCUAUCAGCUAGUCGGUGGGGUAACGGCCUACCGAGGCGAUGACGGGUAGCUGGUCUGAGAGGACGACCAGCCACACGGGGACUGAGACACGGCCCCGACUCCUACGGGAGGCAGCAGUGAGGAAUCUUCCGCAAUGGGCGAAAGCCUGACGGAGCGACACCGCGUGUGGGAUGAAGUCCUUCGGGAUGUAAACCACUGUUGGAGGGGAAGAUAGUGACGGUACCCUCCGAGAAAGCCCCGGCUAACUACGUGCCAGCAGCCGCGGUAAUACGUAGGGGGCUAGCGUUAUCCAGAUUUACUGGGCGUAAAGCGCGUGUAGGCGGCUGGUUAAGCGUGAUGUGAAAUCCUCGGGCUCAACCCGAGAACUGCAUUGCGAACUGGCCUGGCUAGAGUGCAGGAGAGGGAAGCGGAAUUCCAGGUGUAGCGGUGAAAUGC
rnacentral:rRNA from 1 species